GAUGAACGCUGGCGGCGUGCCUAAUACAUGCAAGUCGAGCGAACGGACGAGAAGCUUGCUUUUCUGAUGUUAGCGGCGGACGGGUGAGUAACACGUGGAUAACCUACCUAUAAGACUGGGAUAACUUCGGGAAACCGGAGCUAAUACCGGAUAAUAUUUUGAACCGCAUGGUUCAAAAGUGAAGGACGGUCUUGCUGUCACUUAUAGAUGGAUCCGCGCUGCAUUAGCUAGUUGGUAAGGUAACGGCUUCCCAAGGCAACGAUGCAUAGCCGACCUGAGAGGGUGAUCGGCCACACUGGAACUGAGACACGGUCCAGACUCCUACGGGAGGCAGCAGUAGGGAAUCUUCCGCAGUGGGCGAAAGCCUGACGGAGCAACGCCGCGUGAGUGAUGAAGGUCUUCGGAUCGUAAAACUCUGUUAUUAGGGAAGAACAUAUGUGUAAGUAACUGUGCACAUCUUGACGGUACCUAAUCAGAAAGCCACGGCUAACUACGUG
rnacentral:rRNA from 1 species